rnacentral:rRNA from 1 species
GACGAACGCUGGCGGCGUGCUUAACACAUGCAAGUCGAACGGAAAGGCCCUGCAUUUGUGGGGUGCUCGAAUAGCGAACGGGUGAGUAACACGUGAGUAACCUGCCCUGGACUAUGGGAUAACUUCAGGAAACUGGGGCUAAUAGCGGAUAGGAGCUCCUGCUGCAUGGUGGGGGUUGGAAAGUUUCGGCGGUUGGGGAUGGACUCGCGGCUUAUCAGCUUGUUGGCGUGGUAGUGGCUUACCAAGGCUUUGACGGGUAGCCGGCCUGAGGGGGUGACCGGACACAUCGGGAUGGAGCUACGGCACAGACCCCUACGGGAGGCAGCAGUGGGGAAUAGUGCACAAUGGGCGGAAGCCUGAUGCAGCACCGCCGCGUGCGGGAUGACGGCCUUCGGGUUGUAACCCGCUUUCGCCUGUGACGAAGAGUGAGUGACGGUAAUGGGUAAAGAAGCACCGGCUAACUACGUG